ensembl:lncRNA
UGACUCAGCGCUCGCCUCAGGUGGUCAAUCAGAGGUUCAGGCCGUGAUUCAGCAGUUCCCAUACAGUCCAGUGAUGAUGUUCUUCAUAACUACAUGUGGUCUGGUUCAACAUUUCAAAACAGUUCUUGUUAAAUUGAUCUUUCUCGAUCAGUGAUGAACACUGUCUAAAUGUUUCUCUGCUCUUCUCCUUGAAGAAUAUGGAAAAAAAAUCCUGGAGCAGAGAGGAGGAAUACCUCCAUUUGCUCCCCUCUGCUAAUGCUCUGGGUGGUUUUGCAACCAGCCUUGGAGAUGCACAGACAGUACUGCAUAGUGCUUCUCUGCAAGCAGCUUAGGGCAGAGGCAAGCUCAGAAGGGGCAAGUGGGCUUGUUUCACUGUGUAUUUAAUAUAAGUGCUUGGAAAUGAGCCAGGGCUAAUGACCUUGUCCAGUGGCAUGCACUGGAGAGUCAGAGCAGUUGGGCUCCAGAGCUGCUGUUUCCCUCAGCCAGUAAAGGCACCAAAUACAGCACAACUGCUUUUCAUUAUCAUGCACUGGGUGGUCACCACGUGUAAAACAAUUUGUGACAGAAUUAAAGCUGAAUUGAAGGGCUGUGUUCUGCCAGAUGUACUUCUGGAAAGUGGUUAUUAAUGUGGGACUAAGUCAGUUGUUCUUACAUGUUCUGAAAUCAAAGCCUUCUCUUAAUAAGUACAAGUGAAUAGCUACUCUUAAUUUGAAAUUAAUACGGGAGUUGGUUCUGUUUAAUGCUUCCACAUAUUACUAUAGAGUGGAGAAGCAAGAGCAGCACAGAUCUAGGUCUGUGAGGCUCUGCAUCUGCUGCAGUCACACUGAGAAAAUGCCAGAGCUGUGCUUCUGAGUCAUUCCCAAGGCACCAGCCCCCCAGAGCUGCACACUGAAUAUAUGUAUAUAUUUAUGUGGCUAGAAACUCUAAGAAAUGCAUAGGCCUUAGAUGAAGAGGACUGGCUUAGAUGCAGAAAAUGACUUUUUCACCCAGUUCUGCAUAGGCUGUCCAUUAAGGACAUGACCAGAUGCACAGGCAGGUUCUGGGGCAGUCCAGGGAAAUCUGGCACUCAUCUUCACCUACUGCACUGGCAGCAGCUCUGUGCCAACAUCCCUGUUCAGGUUGUAACAGAAAAAACACUUUUGAACUUCUCAUACAUGGUCUAUGGCUGAAGCUUCAUUUCAGGGUGCUUCUCUAAUUAAAAACAAAAUCCCUACGCUUAUCAAGAGUAUGCACAUAUAAGUUAGGGAGAAAAUCCCUAUUGUGGUAUGCACGUCCUAGUUGUUGCAUAGAACUUUAGGGUAACUUGUACUGCCUGAGCUGUUAUCAAAGUAGAUCUUUCAAGAGAACAUGUUCAGCUGAGCACAGCUUGUUUCAGAAUUUAUUUGGAUUCAUUUAGUUUGGGUAAAUACAUACAUAAAAAUUGGAGGGGAAAUUUUCACCAGAAGACUACUCCUAAGAUACAGCAAGAGUACAGGACCAUGCCAGAUGCCUGGAACAAAGCAGGCAUGUUUCAGCAUUCCGUGACCAAGUUAAGCUGAACAGCUUUGUUGUUCACUGAAUUCCAUUGUCAGCUACUUUAACAUUCUGCUAAAUGUAAAUAUUUGUAUAAAUAUAUAUGUU